rnacentral:rRNA from 1 species
UACGGGGGGAGCAAGCGUUGUCCGGAAUCAUUGGGCGUAAAGCGCGCGUAGGUGGCCACAUAAGUCCGUUGUGAAAGUCAAAGGCUCAACCUUUGAAAGCCGAUGGAUACUGUGUGGCUAGAGUACGGAAGAGGCGAGUGGAAUUCCUGGUGUAGCGGUGGAAUGCGCAGAUAUCAGGAGGAACACCAAUAGCGAAGGCAGCUCGCUGGGACGUUACUGACACUGAGGCGCGAAAGCGUGGGGAGCGAACAGG